rnacentral:rRNA from 1 species
UACGUAGGGUGCAAGCGUUUGUCCGGAAUUACUGGGCGUAAAGAGCUCGUAGGUGGUUUGUCGCGUUGUCCGUGAAAACUCACAGCUUAACUGUGGGCGUGCGGGCGAUACGGGCAGACUAGAGUACUGCAGGGGAGACUGGAAUUCCUGGUGUAGCGGUGAAAUGCGCAGAUAUCAGGAGGAACACCGGUGGCGAAGGCGGGUCUCUGGGCCGAUACUGACGCUGAGGAGCGAAAGCGUGGGGGAGCGAACAGG